UGCCAGCCGCCGCGGUAAUACGGAGGGUGCAAGCGUUGUUCGGAAUUAUUGGGCGUAAAGAGCAUGUAGGCGGACUGUUAAGUCUGAUGUGAAAGCCCGGGGCUCAACCCAGGAAGUGCAUUGGAUACUGGCAGUCUUGAGUAUGGGAGAGGAAAGUGGAAUUCCGAGUGUAGGAGUGAAAUCCGUAGAUAUUCGGAGGAACACCAGUGGCGAAGGCGACUUACUGGCUCGAUACUGACGCUGAGGUGCGAAAGUGUGGGGAGCAAACAGGAUUAGAUA
rnacentral:rRNA from 1 species